AGAGCCCAAACCAAGAAGCUUGCUUCUUGGGGUUGUAGGACACUCUAUACGGAGUUACAAAAGAAAGUUAUAAAUGAAGCGGUCUGGAAAGGCCCGCCAAAGACGGUAACAGCCCGGUAGUUGAAAUGGCUUUCCCUCCAGAGUGGAUCCUGAGUACGGCGGAACACGUGAAAUUCCGUCGGAAUCCGGGAGGACCAUCUCCCAAGGCUAAAUACUCCCUAGUGACCGAUAGUGAACCAGUACCGUGAGGGAAAG
rnacentral:rRNA from 1 species